rnacentral:lncRNA from 1 species
GGGAGAGCAGCGAGAAAGCAGAAAAACCAGCUUUGAACUCUGCGUGCAAGGCCUCCUGAGCCUCAGGCCCCAGCCAAAGAUGCUGCGGGAUUCUACAGCUCAGCAGAGCAUGGGGGCAGGGCAUGCCAGGCGAGUGACCUCAGUCCUAGUGUACUCUCUCUAACACUCAAGUGGAAGACGCCUGAUGGUGUUCUCUGCACUGCAGUUGUGGGCGACUGGAGCAGCUGCUGCUUGGAUAGCAAGACCCCAAACACCAAGUGAAGGGAAUGACUUGGACUAAUGUUUCACUGAGCAGGCCUGAGACUAUAAUCAACCUCUGAGGUUAAAUUACAAAGCACCCUUCACACCUCAAAUGACUGAGGCUUUUAUAUGACCCAGCAAUGAACAAGCACAGAGGGACAGGCAUCUCCCACACAAGGGGGACAUCACUAAUCUGGGAGUUAUGUGGACACAAUCUGCUAUGGGUCAGACGCUUCCCUCUGAAGUCAUGUAAGGAGCGGUUCCAAGACACGAACAGCGACAACAAAUGUUACAGAUAAGCUCACAGAUGAGUCGGCCUGUGACGCCUGGGAGGCACAAGGACCCUGAACAGAGCGGUCAGCAGUGCCGAGACUGGCAAGGAGGUGACAGUGGUCUCAGCAAACGGAGAGGCUUGGUAUACUCUGAAUAAGUGUGGGGGAUGUGACUGCGUGACAGAGAGCAGUCGGCCAGCACCAUCACUUCUGCUAGGCCAACACAGAUGAUGUUGCUUCCACAGUGAAGAAAAAUGUCAUCGCCUGAGUCACACAGCCUCACCUUUGAUGUACUCCAGCCAAGACAGCCUCCACUUAGAGCACCUACAAGGGGGAGUGGGGCGCUGAGUAGCAGCUGGCUCGGCAGACUAUUUAUUAGUCAAGUGUCACGGCUUAAGGAAUUCCCAAACUGCAAGUAUUUGGCAAAAGGAUUCUGGCCCAAGAAAAACAAACAAAGCCUGCUGGAGGACUUUCAUUCUAAGGCCUCGAUUUGUUAAAAAUAUUUGAGGAUGGUGAUUAGCACAUCAUAAAAAUAAAGAGGCGCGCAGAAAGAAGACAUUAUGAGCUUGAUG